UACGAAGGGGGCUAGCGUUGUUCGGAAUUACUGGGCGUAAAGCGCGCGCAGGCGGCUAUCCAAGUCAGUGGUGAAAGCCCGGAGCUCAACUCCGGAACUGCCAUUGAAACUGUUUAGCUUGAGGAUGAGAGAGGUAUGUGGAACUCCGAGUGUAGAGGUGAAAUUCGUAGAUAUUCGGAAGAACACCAGUGGCGAAGGCGACAUACUGGCUCAUUACUGACGCUGAGGCUCGAAAGCGUGGGGAGCAAACAGG
rnacentral:rRNA from 1 species